rnacentral:misc_RNA from 1 species
AUUUCUUCUUUUUUUUUUUUAUCAUAUAUCUCAAAACAAAAGUAAUAGACUUAUUGUGCUUAAAGGUACUUGUUAGGUUUAAAUCUGGAUUAUUUGUGUACAACCCAAAUUGCUGCAUGUUCUCAAGUUUAGCUAUGUGACAAGUUCUUUUAUAUCUCCAGUCUCCACCUUCUUUUAUGCAAUGCCAUUUGUAUUUUUUAUGAAGUUUGCAUUGCAAUAGUUUAGUGGUUAAGAACGCCAUAAUUAUAUUAUUUGACCAUUUCUUCUUUUGAUUAUAAAUUUGGUUAUCAUGUCUUUUGAUGCAUUUUACCGCAGCUUGACAGGUGGUGGGAGCAGCC